UGGGGCUCAGUCUCACAAAUGCAAGAUCAUGACCUGAGCCAAUAUCAAGAGUCGGACAGUUAACCAAGUGAGCCACCCAGGUGCCCCAACAAAUUCCAUUGCUUUGGUGGAACUCUCUGUCUUGUAUUUUUCUGGAACAUAUAAAUCAUAGUUAUCUUAAUGUAUCUGAUACACUAAAUUCUUAGUGGUACACACAACUCUCUAAUGAGUGCCUGACAUUGUAUUUGAAACAUUGCAUUGGCUCUGGUUGGUGUUUUCUCCCCCCACAGAGGGCUUACCCUCUUCUCUCACAGCCAGGGAACAGAUGGCCUCAAUCUAGUUGGGGCCACACCUCUCCCAGACUGGCUUGCUGUCUCUGGGAAUAUCAGAGUAGCUCUGUCUCACCCUCAGUAUUAGGAUGUAGUCCUCUAGAAGUGAAGGCCUGGGAUAUUUUUUCAGUCAGUCUUCCCUGGCUAGUUCUGAACUCCAUUUUUGUCUCCGUAGCAUUAUGAAACAACCCCAAAUUCUGCUUUGCUAUUUUACCCAAUUUGUUUGGCUUCCAAGCCUCUUGUCCUGCACGACUUAAUCAGUAAAUAGCCUGAGGAAAACUGAUGCUGGUGGUGGGCUCACAUUUUUGCAUUCCACUUUUGUCUAGGAUCUUGAUUCUACAAUUGCCUUGGCAGCUUCAGACUUCAGUAUUUAUCUUCCCAGUCCCAUCAAGUUCCUGCUGACUUCUUAGCUGUUUGCCCUGCACCAAGAAUUGCCAAAUGCCCUAUCUUACUGCAUUUGGGCUGCUAUGACAAAAAUAAGAUGAAUUGAGUGGUUCAAACAGCACACAUUUCUUUCUCACAGUUCUGGGGGCCAGAGAGUCAAAGAUCUGUGUGCCAGCACAUUGGGGUCUGGUGAAGACCCAGUCUUUUCACUGUGACCUUACAUGUUGGAAGGAGGGCAAGAAUGCUUUCUGUGGUCCCUUUUGUAAGAGCACUAAUCUCAUUCAUGAGGGCUCCACCCUCAUGACCUAAUCACCCCACCUCCAAACACCAUGGCACUGGGGCUUUAGAUUUCACCAUAUGAAUUUGGGAAGGACACAUUCAGUCCACUGCAUGUCCCUAGGAGUAAAAUAAUGUGCCAAAAGUUGGGAUGACCUCAGUAAGCUCUCCUUCCUUCAAAUCCUGGGUAUCUCAGCAGGUUUCUAAUAACUGCUAGCAGAUUUUCCUUUAAUCUAGCUUUUUCUGUAUUGGUCAAGCUGUUGAAUCAGAGUCAGCCUGGAUCACAUUCGAGAAACAUUGAUUUAAGGCCUUAUUGUACCUAUUUUUGUAAUAGCGUAUUUAUUUUACUAAACUUUAAGUCUCUGCUGAAAAAUUAUCCUUAAUCCUCAGCUUGGUCACACCCUGCCUCAUUCCUGAUACUGAUGUGGUUUGAAAUGUUGGGUUCAGAGCUGAUGGCCAAGAAGGAAUAUUUGAGACAUCUUUAGUGCAACAAGGUAGUUUUAUUAAAGCACGGGGACAGAACCCGUGGACAGAAAGAGCUGCACUGGGGUUGUGACAGGUGACUGAUGAUAUACCUUCAGGUUGGGAGGGAAUUAGGGAUAGAGUAAGUUUCUAAGGAAUUUGGAAACAAGGUUUCCAGGACCUUGAGGGGCUAGCUGCUGUUAGGAAAUGGCCAUGAAUUACCAUUUAGCAAAAACUCAGUCAUGAGACCCUUCAGAUUGGGGGGCAUAAGCUUGGAGUAUGAUUGUCAACAUAUAUCUUGUGAGGGUAGACAUAAAGAAAAUUUCCAAAGGAAUUUUUGUAUGUUUAAAGUAGACUCACAGUAUCCUGGAGAGUUGGGCUAAGAUUCCCGUUUGUUCUUACCAGAGUGUCAACAUCAAGGUAGCUGAGCUCCCAGAGGAAGAUCACUCUGCCUGUUUCAAGGCCUUAUCAAUGGGAUGUAGGCACUAAGGAAAUUUAAUUUUUCAUUUGCCUUUGUUUCCCACAUCAAUCUCCCUUGGCUUUUCUCUUCAUCAAGGAACCUCUAGACCCCGCCUGCAAGUGUGGCCUUAUCCCUGAUCUCUGACCAAUCCUGGGAUUCAUUAGCAGAAAGUGAAAGUAGAACCCCCAGGGGCAGCCCUGUGAUCCACAGCUUUGGGUCAGACCUGCUGCCAGCUGGGCUUAGAGCUUAUGCAAUAGACAGGAGCACUUCUGAGUUUUGGUGGGCCCAAAGCAUAUACAAUUUUAAGGGCAUAUUUAAGAAAAAAAGAUGCAAAUUUAUGAAUACAAAAUUAGGUAUAAAGUCUUAGAAGGGGCCAUCCAAGAGAGGAGUCUUAAAACCUAACCUUUAUUUACUUCACACUAACUCUGCCUCUUUUCCUAAAUUUGUAUCUUGAUGAGAAAAACUACUCUAGCUGGAUCUGUUUCUUUCACACAAGGUUCUCCAAGAAGAGAGACCAUGGAGCCAGGAAGAGGAGGCCCACAAAUCAAUGAGAGACACUGAAGCAAUGACUAGAGACCUGGCUUCAAAAAAGGAUGAAUGACUGCCCAAUGCUGACCCCUUCCUCAGCCGCCACAGCCCUGGCCAAGAGGGAGGCCUCUGGCAUCUGCACAGUAGCCACCUCCUGUUAAGGUGGUGCCCGCUGGGGAAAACAGAAUGAAGCCUACCUGGUCGUCAGCUCCAAAGGAGAAGGUCCAGCAAACCUGUGUGAGAAAUAUCAAGCUGCAGGAUUUCUCAGGCCUGUCUCAAGAGUGUGAGUUCACUGAAGGUUCAAAGAGGAUGGAGAAGAUGUGAAAUAAUGUGGAGAAUAAAAUUCUGAACUGACCAAAGAAACGUAUAAAUGUGACUGGGCAGCCAUUGCCCCAUGGGGUAAAAUGUCCCUGUAAGUUUUUAUCUGCUGGGAUAUAAGCCUAGAGAA